CCUGAGAUGGACCCGGCAUUUGCCGCCAAGCUCAGGGCCCAGUGCAACGGCAACGACGACACCAACGUAAACCAAGACGAUGUGACCCCAAACGUCCUGGAUAAGCGGUACUACCAGAACGUGAUCGACAGGAAAGUGUUGUUCACCUCAGACGCCGUGCUCAACUCGACGGAAACGAUGAUGCAGGUGAGAGAAAACGCGAACAGAGCAGGAGCGUGGGAGAGGAAGUUCGAGAGAGCAAUGGAGAAUAUGGGAAAAAUCGGGAUCAAGACCAGAGGCGACCAGCAAGGCGCAGAGAUCAGGAAGGUAUGCUCCAGAGUGAACAACUAACGUCGGCUAGUAGUAAUGCGGGGUCGUUGGCUGGCUCCAUGGUGGGAUCCCCCUAUGGACGAGAUGUAACUUCGUCUAGUAUCUACUGUCAUUGUUGGUUUUCUCAUACAAAAGCUCGGUGUGUAUGUUCAUGUACGACUUUUUUUCUGGUUAUUUCUACCGAUUACUCUAGGAGCAUAAAAAAGUCAAAUGUAUUGUUUCUUAACACGGUAUCAUAGGUGCAUUAAAAAUUUAAGAACCUACUUGUCCAAUGUAUUAUCUAUUCGAGGUUGUAUCUAAAUUUAAUGAUAUGAUGCUCGUGCAUGUAUAUGAUUGGACAAUUAGCUAUUUUUGCCUAUAAUAACAUGUAAAGAUUGUACUCCCACCGUCCAGGUGUAUAGAACGUGCGCGUAGUUCUAGGUCGUUAAUUUAACUACUUAAAUAUGUAUUAUAUGUAGUAGAUAAUAUACCAUUAGAUUCAUGCGGGGAUGUAGUUUCUGAAUAUGUAAUUUUUAUCGUAUAUAAUACUCCAUUGACAACCUAAAACUACGCACAUAUCCUAUACACUUGGACGGAGGUAGUACUAGUUGCUAAGAUACAACCCCACCCUCUCUUUUCAUUAAAUAGUGUGACACAUAAGUAAAUUACCUAUGAAACCGUGCUAAGAAACCCCAUUAACAUAGGCUUAAGGUGACCGGUUAGGUUUCAAUCGUCGGUCACCUUUUGGUAGCAAGGGGAUAUACGUUCCACAAGUUGUGCUAAUUACUUCACUUAGCUAGCUAGGUAGUACUCCCUCUGUAAACNNNNNNNNNNNNNNNNNNNNNNNNNNNNNNNNNNNNNNNNNNNNNNNNNNNNNNNNNNNNNNNNNNNNNNNNNNNNNNNNNNNNNNNNNNNNNNNNNNNNNNNNNNNNNNNNNNNNNNNNNNNNNNNNNNNNNNNNNNNNNNNNNNNNNNNNNNNNNNNNNNNNNNNNNNNNNNNNNNNNNNNNNNNNNNNNNNNNNNNNNNNNNNNNNNNNNNNNNNNNNNNNNNNNNNNNNNNNNNNNNNNNNNNNNNNNNNNNNNNNNNNNNNNNNNNNNNNNNNNNNNNNNNNNNNNNNNNNNNNNNNNNNNNNNNNNNNNNNNNNNNNNNNNNNNNNNGUUUACAGAGGGAGUACUUCCUUUAUCACGGUUUAGAAGGCAUCCUUUAAAUUUCAUGCAUUUCUAAAAUGAAGAAGGAUCAAGGCGUGUUUUAUUUAUUGCCUACUAGUAGUAUAUCAUAAUGAGUAAUUAGGAGUAUUACUACUAUUGCAUGCAGCUGUGUGAACGUUGGGAGGAAUUGGUUUCACUGUGCAUGCAUGAGUAAACAAAGAAUAGAUGGAUCACGAUAGGUAGAUGGAUAAGAACAUGCACAUGAAUGCAUGCGCCAAUCGGUCCAUGAACUAUGCUUUCAAUUCCACAUGCAUGCACGUCCGUAUCACUGUGCAGCGUUCAAAAAAUAUCAUAAUUAAGACAUUACAAAUAGAUUGGUAUCAAGAUGGAUAAUUUUUACAUGUCAUUAUUAAAUCUGGGACAAGACAUUAUAAAAAGAUCUAAAUCACAUAUAAAUACAAAUACGUAUUGAUAAUGUAUUUGACCAACGGAGUCUGUCUGUCAGAUGUCGAUGUGACACGUUUUUAACAGAAACCCCCUUUUUAUACUUCAUCAAACAAAUGCCCUUUAUUUUUGCAUAAAAAAAUAUCCUCUGAAAGAUUUUUUUCGUCCAGAAUUUUUCAAAUGCGGCGCCGAGCCACCACGCCACGAAGGGGCUGGCGUUACAGAAGGGCGGGACGUCCUUCCUUUAUACUCGCGUGGACAUGCUAGGCCGGCUGCUUGGGCUUAGCAAGGCUGCACGCGCUGAAUUACUAUUAAAAAUAUUUAUAUGUAACUUUUAAAUUACGCAAUUAUAAAAAAACGCAUAUAACCUGCGGUAAUCGAUACAUAUACUGUGUAUCUUCAUUAUAUUAUUGAAAAAUGCAAAACUAAUAAAAAUAUAUGCCCAACAAACAUUUUUUCUUUUAGUUACUCCUAUAUUGAUUGUAUUUUUAGAAACACACAUGUACUUAAAAAGUUGAUGAAACAUAUUAAAAAUAUUUGUGUUGUUACAAUAAAUUUUAGAAAUGCAUUAAAACUGUUCAACUUUUAUUUUAAAAAAGGUGUUUCUUGAAAUGCAAAACGAUUUUACACAAUAAUAUGUAAAAAUUUCAUCAUAUUUUAAGAAUAUUGCUUAUUAUUUUAGAUAUAAUUGUAUAAUCAACUAUUCAAAAAAAAUCAUCAUAUCUACAUUUGUCAACAUUUUUUGAAAUAAACAUUGACAAAACAAAAAGUUCACCGUGCACUAUUUAAAAUGUCUAUCAUAUCUUAUUAAAUUGUUCAACAUAUGUUACAAAUUUUGUCAAUUUGCAUUUAAAAUAUGUUCAUCGUAUAUUAAAAAAUUAUUAUAUUAAAAGUAUGUUCAACGUUUGUAAAAAGAACCUGUGCAACGAACAAGCCCCAGUAAAACGCGAAACAGAAAAACAUAGUAGGCCUCGGAGGUACCAAUUACCGCCCAUCUAUCUAUUAACAUCUAAAAGAAACCACGCAUGUGUUCUACCACGAGUGUCUCUGUGGCGUGGUGGCUAGGUCGUUGUGCCUUUCCUGUGUACAUCGGGAAUUUGAUACCCCUGAACGAUGGUUUUUGUUUCUUUAACUUAAUUGUUCAAUUCGAUGAAAAAUCAUUCAAAAGAGUCCCAUUAUGUGUUGGAAAAUUACGAACGGGGAUUUUUUUUCUUUCAUAGGAUCAUUUUUCCUGUGAAAAUAACAUGCAUUUAUAUGAUUACGUAUAAAGUAAAGGGUUUUUUUGCAAAAAAACUUGCCACGUAGGCACUUGACAAGAGGGUCUUAUUGGUGAGAUACACCAUCAAUACGUAUUUAUACGCGGUUUAGAUCAUUUUGUAACGGUUUGCCCCAAACUUGAUACUAAAAUGUAAAAACUACCAAUGUUGAUACCAAUCUGCUAGUAAUGCCUUAAUUAUGGUACUUUUAUGCAAUUAACUCCACUAUGCAUGGUGAGUUCACUAUACUCCCUCUCUAAAUUAAUAUAACAACGUUUCGAUCAUUAAAGUAGUGAUCUAAAUAUUCUGAUAUUAGUUUACGGAGGGAGUAUGUAACAAGGGGAAAAUACACAACGGUUGUCGGGGACAUAUGUCCCCGGAAUCUCAUGAGUCAUCCGAACAUGCCUAUUAUUAUAGUUCAUACGACUCGUGCAUAUUGUUUAUUUCUUUGUCCUAGCUUCCGUCGUAUUUGAUUCCUUUGCUCAUGUCACUCGUGUGUGUCCAGCCUCUCAUUUAAUCAACUACUUCUCCUAGUUGUCUCUUUCCUGUGUCUUGUAUCACUACACACGCUUCCUUCGUACGCAGUGUAUCUCUUUUGACACAUUAUGUUUUGCGUGCAUAGUUUGCUUGUCUUCGUAUUUUCAUAACUUAUAUUGAGUGAUAUAAAUUAUGAAAAUGAAAUAAUACAGUAGGCAUCAUGUAAGAACAAUUAUGAAUCUGGUCUUGGCAUUACUUAAGUGAAUGAUCUAUAUUUAUCAUUCUAACCCAUCUCACAAAAUUUCGUUAAGUUUUGUGUGAUUGAAGUUUUCAAGUUUUGGAUAAGAUACCAAUAUGAGGAGAAUAAUGAGCAGCAAGAUCCUAAGCUUGGGGAUGCCCAUGGCACCCUCAAGGUAAUAUCCAAGGAAGACUCAAGUAUCUAAGCUUGGGGAUACCCGGGUAGACAUCCCCUCUUUCAUGUCCAACAUUAUCACUAUAUCUUACUUGGAACUAUAUUUUUAUUCAUCAUAUGAUAUGUGUUUGGUUGCAACGUCAUUUUAUUUUGUUGUUCUCUGUUACUUGUUAUUUAUAAUCUUGUGUUUCAAUAAAAAAGUUUCAAGAAUUGUCUUUAGACUGCUUGAAUUGCAUGUGCGAUGUGUGUUAUACAAAAAUAGAAACUUGUUCUGUAGUAUUUGAAUUAUCAUAUUUUAUUGGAACGAGAAAAGUUUCUGAAACUUUUACACAGUACUUUCAUACAAAUUAUUUAUCAUGUCCAAAAUUUCAGAAUUUUUGAAGAUACAUAAGUACACUUUAUAUAUAUAUUGCUGCAGACUGUUCUGUUUGGAUAGAUUGCUAUCAUAGUUUUGUUAUCUACUUAUUCUAGAGUUUUCAUAGCUUAUAUUAGUGGAUAUAAUUUUUUUAAAUGAUACUAUACAUUACCUAAUGUUUGAAAAUUAUUAUGAAACUUGUCUUGCUAGUACGUGAAGUGUUGAUUUAGUUUAAUGUGUACUAACCUAUCUCAUGAGUUCUUUUCAAGUUUUUGUGUGGAUAAAUUUUGUGAGACUUAGAUGAAACCAUGAUAUGAGAGGAUUCAACGGAAUGGAAAAGCUCAAGCUUGGGGAUGCCCAAGGCACCCCAAGUAAAUAUUUCAAGAAGUCUCAAGCAUUUAAGCUUGGGGAUGCUACGCAUCCCACCUUUCUUCAUCAAUAACUAUCGGUUAGCCUAUGUUGAGUCUAAAUUUUUAUUUGUCCACAUAAUAUGUGCUAUUCUUGGAGUUUCUUUUGUUUUAUUUGUUGUUUGAAAUAAAAUAUCAGAUCAAAAAAUAUUUAUUGAGAGAGAGUCCUCACAUAGCUACUUAAUUGUUUGAUUACUCAUUGAUCUUCAAUUAUAUCUUUUGAGAGUAGUUUGAUUGAAUUGCUUUAGUACUUCACUUAUAUCUUUUGCACAUACAUAAGUACACUUUUCAUAUAUCUUUUUUAUCUUCACUUAUAAGUGAAGCAAGAGAGGAUUGAAUUGCUCUACUAUCUCACUUAGGCAAGAAAUAUGCUCUCAUGCUUCACUUAGAUUAUUUUGUGAGUUAGUAGAAACUUUGAAGAAAUCCUCUCUUGCUUCACUUAUAUAAUUUUAAGAGUUGAAAAUUUUAAAGAAACUUGUGCUCUCGUGCUUCACUUAUAUUUGUUUGAGAGCUUGUUAUUAGCAAUGGCAAUUUGCUUCAAAUGAAAUUGGUCCCAAAGUGAUGAAUAUCCAAGAAGGAUAUGAUAAAAACAUCCAUAUAGAUCAUUGGAUAUGAUAAGUUUGAUUCUUUGCAAUAGUUUUGCGAUAUGGUGAUAUUAAUAUAUGAGUCGUGUUGGUGAGUAAUUAUGCUUAGUAAGAAUAUUGGUGUUAAGGUUUGUGAUUCCCUAUACAUGCACAUUAAUUAAAUAGUUAUGGUAUGAAGUUACAUCCUACUUGUGUUGCAUUAUUCGGUGUUAGUUAUGUUUAAUGUUAGCUUAUGAUGGUUUUCGUUCCUUGGUUGGGCCCUUCUCAGUCUAUUUUCUAGCCUUCACUUGUAAUAAGCGGGAAUGCUGCUUGCACAUUCAAAUCCUAAACCCAAAGUUGUGCCAAAUGAUUCCACCAUGCCUACCUAUAUCCGGUAUUUCAGUGUUGUUCUAAGUAAAUUUGUAUGUGCCAACUCUAAUAUUCAAAAUAAACUUCUGUUUUGUGUGCCCGUACCAUUCAUGAAGCGGCGAGGGGUGGCCGAUAUCUUUCAUGUUAAAUAGGUUGUUCUCAAGAUGAAUGUUUAUUUACUUGUCAUUGCACGAGAGUAUGGCGGUAAUAGGGUUGUCUAGUCCCUAAAUGCAAAGAAAUUUAUUUUAUGUUGUCAAUUCAUAAAUUCCUUGGAAAGUGAUGGUAUGGACGGUACCCGUGGAUGCGGCUAGCCAUGUAGUGUGAAAGAAUAGUGGAAAAAGGAAUAAACUUUAUUUUUAGUUUGAGAACCGCCUAUGAUUUGUUUAGCAUGGAAGAUAUUGGGAACUCUUAGUCGUUUUCGUUGAUAGGAAAAGCAUGCCACCCAAAAUAUUUUAUCUCUCAAUUUUUUUGCGUCGAGCUCUCACACCGCUAAAAAUCUCUGCUUCCCUUUGUGAAGGGCCUAUCUAUUUACUUUUAUGCAUUUUUUAUUUUUAUUUGAGUCUCCAUCUUCUCUUAUAAAGAACCAACUACGGAACACUGUUAUCAUACUUGAGCAUUGGAUGUAGCUAAUAUUUGGGUGUGUUGCAUGAACGGAUCAAUGAUUGAGCAUGAUGGGCUAGGGAUAGCGUUCUUUAGCAUUGAUAUUUUGAAAGACAUUUUUGCUUGUUGAUAUGCUUGAGUAUUAAAGUUUUCAUGUCCAAUUAUAGACUAUUGAUUUGAUUCAUUCAAGUCCAAAUGUCCAUACUACAAAAGAAAAUAGUAUAUGAUGAAUAUGAUAGGUAGCAUUCCACAUCAAAAAUUACGUUUUCAAUUGCUACUUUAUCAUGAUGAGUUUUAUAAGAAAGAGUUGUUGUUAUGAUGUUACGAAAAGUGAUUGAAAUUAUCAUUGACCAAACUUAUGCACUAUGCUAGCAUUCACACUUCAUAAAGUAUUUCUUUUAUCAUUUACCUACUUGAGGACGAGUAGGAAUUAAGCUUGGGAAACCUGAUAUGUCUCCAACGUAUCUAUAAUUAUGAAGUAUUCAUGUCAUGUUUACAACAAUUUUAUAUAGUUUUGGUAUGAUUUGCAUGGAACUAACCCGCAUUGACAUUGUUUUUAGCAGAACUGUCGUGGUGUUGUUUUUUAUGUAGAAAUAGAAGUUCUCGGAAUGCAACGAAACUUUUUGACGAUUUUUCGGAAUAAAAGAGGCACCAGAAGUUUCUUGGGAGGACCAGAAAGUGAAGGAGGUGGCCACUACCCACCAAGGCACGCCAUAGGCCUUGCCCGUGGGCUGGUGGGUAGUGGGAACCUCAUGGGCCAUCUUGGCACGAUUCCAACGCCCAAAAUCCUAUAAAUAUACAAACCCCCAUAAAUAACCCUAGAUGAGAAGUUCCGCCACAGCAAGCCUCUGUAGCCAUGAAAAACCAAUUGGGAGCCCGUUCCGGCACUCUGUCGAAGGGGGAGAUCAUCACCGGAGGCCAUCUUCAUCAUCCCUGUGGCCACCAUGAUGAGGAGAGAGUAGUCCACCCUCAGGGCCGAGGGUUUAUACCAGUAGCUAUGCGCUUAAUCUCUCUCUCUAUCUCGUGUUCUUGAGAUGUCAUGAUCUUUAUGUAUCGCGGGCUUUGUUAAUAUCGUUGGAUCAUAUGGUGUUUCUCCCUCUCUAUCUUGUUGUGAUGAAUUGAGUUUUCCCUUUGAGAUUAGUUUUAUCGGAUUGAAUAUUUUAUGGAUUUGAGAGCACUUGAUUUAUGUCUUCCUAUGAAUACCCAUGGUGACAAUGGGGUAUCAUAUUGAUUAACUUGAUGUUUGUUUUGGUACUCGACUUGUGGAUUCCCGCGGCGACACUGGGGUAUUCUAUGCAUAGGGGUUGAUGCACGUUCUCUUCUUUGUUUCUCCGGUAGAAAUCUUGGGGAACUCUUUGAGGUUUUUUGUGUUGGAUUGAGUAUUAUGAAUCUGAAUUUGUUAUGGUGGUAUUUUAGUAUGAACUCUUGGAUAGAUCGAUCGGAAAGGAUAGCUUGUUAUUUUAGUACGAACUCUUGAAAAGAUUAAUCGGAAAGAAUAACUUUGAGGUGGCUUCGUACCCUACAAACAAUUCUUCUUAUGUUCUCCACUAGAUAGGAACUUUGGGGCGAUUCUUUAUCGCACAUUGAGGGAUUGUUGUGUGAUCCAAUUAUAUUAGCAUUGUUGAGAGGUUGCACUAGCGAAAGUACGGACCCUGGGCCUCAUUUCCAAGCAUUGCAAUACCGUUUGUGCUCACUUUGUUACUCGUUACCUUGCCGUUUUUCAUUGUUACUAUUACAAAAAUCAAUAUCUACUAUCAUUACUACAAAAGUUGUGAGAAUCGAGAUUCUAAAUCGGAUCGAAGCUCCAUUGGUAGGAUCAUGAAUUGCAGAAUCAUAACUAUUAAGAUCGUAGAAACUUAGAUUCUAUGAGCAAAAUCAUAGAAUCAGAGGGUCUAGUUUGGAUCUAAGGUCGUAAGAUUCCAAGACUUGAGUCGUGAUUCUGACAACUUGGAUUACUACACUUGUAUCACCAUCUCUUCGACGAACUAGCGCAUCUAUACAAAUUACCAUUUUAUUUGGUGUGUUGGGGGCACAAGAGACUUUUUAUUAUUUGGUUGGAGGAUUAUUUUAGAGAUACCAUGUUUAUCCUACGCAUCCCAUGAAUUGAUAAACCUUUGUUCAUCCACUUGAGGGAAAAAAUUUACUGUCCUACAGAACUCUGCGCUUGGAGGCCCAACACGGGUCUACAAGAAUAAAGUUGCGUAGUAGACAUUAGAGCUGCACGAGGAGCCAACAAGGCAACAAGGUGUGCACAGGGGGGUCAAGGCGCCCUGAUGCCUUGUCGAAUCCCUAUGGACCCUCUUGCCCCAUUGUUUGCCCUAUAAAUUCUCUAAUAUUUCAAAAACCCUAAAGGCAUCCAUGAAACACUUUUAUACCACCGCAAGUCUUUGUUCCACUGCGUUCCCAUCCGGAUAUUUGUUCGGGCACUCUGCCGGAGGGGGUCGAUCACGAAGGGCCUCUUCAUCAACCUCGGUGUCCUCGUGAUGAUGUGUGAGUAGUUCACCUCAGACCUACGGGUCCUUUGCUAGUACCUAGAUGGCAAUCUCCCUCUAUCUUGAUCUUCAAUACGAUGAUCAUCGCAUCUUCGCUUUGAUCUAUCCGAUGUAAUUCUUUUGAAUGGUGUGUUUUUUGGGAUGCGAUGAAUUGUGGUUUUAUGUGCAGAUUAUUCAUGAAAAUUAUUUGAGUCUUCUCUGGAUUAUUAUUUCUCUUAUUUGCAUGAUCAUCAUAGCUUCGUAAAUCUAUCUGAUCUAUUGAAUUGCUUUGGCCAAAUAGUUUGAUCUCUUUUUAGUGGUAGAUGUGCGUUGUAGUGGGUUCAACCUCAUGAUUUUCUAUAUCCCAUCAACAGAAGGGGACAAGCUGCAUCUUUGUGUUGCUGCCACUAAGGAUAAAACAAUGGGGUUUAUUCAUAUUGAUUGAGCAUUACUCUGUUUUACUUAAUACUCUAGAUGCAUGCUGGAUAGCGGUCGAUGGGUGGAGUAAUAGUAGCAGGUGCAGGCAGGAGUCGACCUAUUUGUUGAUGGAUGUGAUGCCUAUAUGAUCAUUUCCAUGAAAAUCGAAUAACUAUCUGUUGUUCUAUCAAUUGCCCAACAGUAAUUUCUUUACCCACCAUAUGUCGCUUUUAUAAGAGAUGCCACUAGAAUACACUAGGGCCCCCGGUUCUAUUCACUUAUAUAUUCAGAAAACUUAUAUUUCCUUGCUGCCUUAUUUUAUCUUUUAUUUUCGUUAUUAUUCUCAACAAUUAUGUACACAACUCACUUGCUUGCAAAUAACAAGAACAAGGGCAUUGACAACCCUCUUGCCCGCGUUGGGUGCAAGUUGUUUGCUCUUUUGUGUGUAGCCGCUGAAGGCGGUUGAGGAUUAAUAUUCCUAUUGGUUUGAUAAACCUUGAUUUUUUAAUUGAGGGAAAUACUUACCUGCAUUGUGUUUCGAUAACCCGUUCCUCUUCAGGGAAAACCCAACGGAUAUCACAAGCAUCACUGAUCGCUAGUAUUAAGGCCAUGGAUGCUACCAUGGAUUCAGUAGGCCUUGAUGAGGGUUGGUGGGCCCACCGUUACGAGCUUAAGGAGGCCUUGCCUGGGCUCCAUAAGUUAGAAGAGAUGUAUUGGCAACAACGUGGUCACACUUCUUGGUUGCUCAAAGGAGAUUCAGUCACGGCCUAUUUUUUAGCAGUUGCGAAUGAGUGUCAUAGGGGAUGCUUUAUUCUUAGGCUUUGUAUCAAUGGAGAGGUGGUGGCCAAUCGAGAGAUCAUUAGGAGCCAUAUCCUCUCCUAUUUCUCGGACCUCCUAGCUGCCAAACCCCCUACAAACAACGCAGUGCUUAUGUUACCUCUCUCCCAUGAUGAUAUGUACUUAGUGGUCUCCUCGUCCAAAUCCAGCUCUUCUCCUGGCCUGAUGGGCUCUCCUUCUCCUUCUUCAAAAGAAUUUGGUCGGUUCUGAAGCAUCUCGUCUAUGCUAUCAUCUCAAGUUUUUGUUUGGGGACAGUUGACAUUUCGAGACUCAACUAUGCGGUUAUCUCCAUUCUCCCAUGGUCAAAGGGGCACACUCCAUUAAACUAUUUAGACCUAUUGCCCUUAUUAAGAAAAUUUCAAAGUUUCCUCCUAAGGUUUCAACACUCACAUGUCCCCGACGGCCCAUAAGGUCAUUGGAUAACAACAAUCUUCUUUUAUCAAGGGGCAUUACAUUUUAGUUGGGUUCCUCCGCUUGCAUGAAAUCAUUCAUGACCUAAAGUCUAGUAAGUGCAGUGUAGUGGUGCUGAAACUGGACUUUGAGAAGGCUUACGACUUGGUUAAUUGGUCCUUUCUUCAAGAUGUCCUGUUGGCCAAAGGAUUUGGCAGGGCAUAUGUUCGCCGGAUUAUGCAACUCGUUUGUGUGUGGGGGGCACACUGCGGCUUCUGUCAAUGGGGGUGGUAAGCCCUUCUUUAAGAAUGGUAGGCUCCCCCGCCAGGGUGAACCUACCUCUCCCCUCCUCUUUAAUUUUGUGGUUGGUGCUUUCUCUUAUAUGUUGAAUCAGGCGGCGGUGGCGAGACAUAUCCUUCUAGUCUCUUCUAAUCUCAUUCCUUCUGGUGUGACUCAUUUUCAUUAUGUCGAUGACACUAUUAUCCUUGCUGAGAAUUUUGAUCGGUAUCUAGCUGAGGUGAAAUUCCUCCUUCUUUGUUUUCAGGAGAUGUUAGGGUUUAAUAAUAUUUUUUCUAAAAGUGAAGUCCACGUUUUGGGUGCUCCUCUUGAGGAGGCUUCGUGUGUGGCUACUCUCCUAGAUUGCUCCCUUGGUUCCUUCCCCUUCAAAUACCUUGGGAUGCCCAUUUCCCCCUUUAAGCUUCUUUCUAAGGAUUUCAACUUCUAGGUGUCUAAGGUGGCCAAUAGAGUUAUGCCGUGGAGGGGCGUUCUAACUCUACUGCAGGGCGGGUGUGCCUUGACAAUGCUUGUCUAUCUUCCCUGCCUAUGUUCCUCAUGAGUUUUUACCAUCUCCCGGAAAGCAUUCACACUGGUUUUGAUAAGCACAUGAGUGGCUUUUACUGGAACAUGGCAGACAAUAAAAGGAAAUACCGCCUGGUAAAAUGGAAACUGAUGUGCAAGCCUAAGAGGGUUGGGGGUUUGGGGAUCCUCUAGACUUCCAUCAUGAACAAAUGUCUGAUACUCAAGUGGUGGUGGCGCAUCAUGUCCUCUUCUGCCGAUACCCUAUGGUUGUGUAUUCUUAAAGCCAAAUAUUUUCCGCUCUCCUCCUCCCUUAUGUGUAACCUGUGAGUGGUGCCUCUGUGUCUCAGUUUCGGUGACACAUGCUUUCUGUCUGUGAUGAUUUUCAUGCUUUGGUGAAGUUUUCAGUUGGCAACAGAGCUACGACCAAAUUCUGGUUAGAUUGGUGGAUUGGGAGGGGCCCUUGCGGAUUCAUUUCAUGUGCUUUUUUUCUUUCAUUUCUGUUCCUUAGGCCUCCAUUGAGGAGCUCGAGGAUAGGGGUUGGGUCUUUGGCUUUCAUCGGGUCUUGUCUCCUACAGAGUUGGAGGAUUGACAUCAUCUUGUUGCUCUCCUCCCCUCACUCUCGAUGGCUCAGGAUGCGGUCCUCUUUCCGCAUUCAGCCUCUGGUCUUUUUUCUGGUAAGUCUUGCUAUCAUAUCUUAUCGGUUGGCACUAUGGUGCCAAAAAUCAAUCAUGUUUUGGUGGCUCGGGUGCCCCUGAAGAUCAAGAUUUUCAUGUGUCGGGCCCUAAGGGGCUGGCUUCCGGCUGCAAAGCAGAUUAAGAAAAGGCGUGGUUUGGGUUCUAAAUUCUAUGCCCUUUACGGACAACCUGAGGAUACUAGUCAUAUUUUGUUCCAUUGCCCCUUGGCCCUAUUGUUUUGGAGUUUGUCUCACAGAGUGGUUGCGUGUAGGUCUUAGGUUGUGGCUAGUUUUGAUGAGUUGCGGCCGCUUGGGUCAUCCCUUUUCGGCCAAACAAGGAGGUUAUUUUGGUUUGGCUCUCAACCAUGUGUUGGACCCUUUGGACAACCAAAAAUAAAUUUACUAUCGAAUAGGUGUUUCCGAACAUGGCGGUUGACUGUAUUUUCAAAUUUUCUAUCUAUUUGAAGUAGUGAAAAUCUGUGAUUAAAGAUGGACACAAGGUGGUUGUGGAUCUCCUCAUCUCUCGUGUUCAUGUUUUGGCAGCUGUCAGGCUGGCCAUAGUGGGAAGUAACAUAUAGUAGUAUCAUGCAUAUGAUAUUAUUGUAUGAUACUGCUCCCUCCAUUUCAGUUUAUAAGUUCGGCACGUGUAUCUAGGUCGUCAAUUUGACCAACUUAAUGAUAAUCAUAUAUUACAAAAAAUAUAUCAUUAAAAACUUUAGAUGUUCUAUUUUUAUAAUGAUAUAAUUUUAUAUUAAACAAUAGAUUUUAUAUACUUCCUCCAUCAUAGUAUAUUGGGCGUAUCUCAUAGGGCUCUCGGACCGAGAUGUUUUUCUAUUGGUAGGAAAAACCGAGCCGACGAGCUGUAAAAGCGCCUAAUUAAUCGCAAAACUGACGCAUUAGUAACCCCCCGUCCACUAAACGAGCAACUUCCUCGCAUGCAUUGGUGGAGAUGGUUUUCAAAACACCCCAAUUAAUAGGCUAAUUAAUGCCAUGCGUCUUAUUUCCUUCUAAUUGUGAAAAAUUGUCGUUUUGGAGAUACGCCCAAUAUACUAUGAUGGAGGGAGUAAGUUAAAUUGACGAUCCAGGUACACGUGUGUGCCUUAUAAACUUUGACGGAGGUUGAAAGGAUCAAUAUGGUUGACUAGAGGGGGGUGAAUAGGCAACUACCAAUUUUUAGCUUUUUUAAAUAAAUAAGGAGUAGCAAUCAUAAAGGUUCACUAACAUGACACUAGGAGGACAACCUAUAUGAUGCUACUUAUCAACGAGUAAAUAAGAAUGUAGGAGCUACUCUACAAUACCAAAAAAUACAAAGUAAAGGUAAGAGAUAACCACAAGUGGAACCGAUGAAGACGAGGAUGUGUUACCAAAGUUCCUUCCCUUUGACACGAAGUAUGUCUCCGUUGGAGCGGUGUGGAGGCACAAUGCUCCCCAAUAAGCCACUAGGGCCACCGUAUUCUCCUCACGCCCUCGCAUAAUGCAAGGUACCGUGAUUCCACUAUAGGUGCUCUUGAAGGCGGCGAUAGAACCUUUACAAACAAGGUUGGGGCAAUCUCCACACAAAGCUUGGAGGCUCCCAACAAGACCACGGAGCUUCACCACAACGGAAUGUGGCUCCGAGGUGACCUCAACCGUCUAGGGUGCUCAAACACCCAAGAGUAACAAGAUCCGCAAGGGAUUAGUAGGGGACAUCAAAUAUCCUUUGGUGGAAGUGUAGAUCAAGGCCUUCUCAAGCAAUCCCUAGAAAAUCAACAACGUUGAUUGGCUAGGGAGAGAGAUCGGGAUAAAAUGAGCUUGUGGAGCAACAAUGGAGCUUAGAGAGGUUAAAGGUGGGAUCUAGGAAGAAGAAGAUGCAUUUAUAUAGUAGGGGAGGCAGAUCCAACCGUUACCCACCUACCACAUAAAUGCACGAGCGAUACUACUGCUUCCCAGAGCGGUACUACCGCUCCUGGGAGCGGUACUACCGCUCAGCUCCUCACCAACCACGGUAGUACCAGGGUACUACCGUGCCACCACCUCCGUGGGAAAGUAUGCGAGAAAAAGCCCGUCGGUGCGGUAGUAAAUUAAUACUACCGCACUAAGGGCGGUAGUACCGCCCUUGGAGCGGUAGUAAAAACUACUACCGUUCUUCGGGCGGUAGUACCGCUCCUGGAGCGGUAGUAAAAGUUUACUACCGCACGUGGGAAGGUUGUACCGCUCCUGGAGCGGUAGUAAAAAUUUACUACCGCUCUGAGAGCGGUACUACCGCUGGUACAGCGGUACUACCUCUUACCCUUUUUCGUAUAGGCAAGGAAACACACAAUGGUGCUCCAUUGAAGCUAAAAUAUGGGUGGGUGCAUGAGGUGUGUGCGUGAGGAUUCCACCCAAACCUUUCCGACGCGGACCCCCUCUUGGUAAGACGACUUUCCUAUGACUCAAACUAGGAAGAGAAAUGUAGAAGAAAAUCCGUCUUCGAGAACCUCCGAGGGGCGUCGAGUCAUCUUGUUCCUAGAAGAGAAUAUUCUGAAAUGCUCAGGACACAGGAUUAGUUCGCACAACAAUUGUCAUCAAUCACUAAAACCACUUAGGAGAAAUAUGCCCUAACAAUCUCCCCCUUUUUGGUGGAUUGAUGACAAUGUUGGAUUUGCACAGAAAAAUAGAGAUAGGCAUAUGCAAACUCCAAAGAUAUCACCAGGGGGCUAGUUUCCUCUGGGUAUGUGCAUACCAACAACUAACCACAGAGAGAACACUCCCCCUAGAUUAUAUAGACUAAGCCAUCCUUACUACAUACGUACGAGGGAUGAAGAAUAUUGAAGCAUGGCAAAGCAUGUGAGCAAAGGUAUACUGGCACAAGAUACUAUGUCUCACAGGUUAAUAAUAAUAUGGAUAAAACUGAUAAUACUGAGACAAAAGAUAAGGAAGAUAAAACAUAUAUCUCACAUUAAGAUAGGAUCUGAUGACUCAGUCUCAACCAUAAAGCAAAAGCAGCGAACGAAAGCAACAAAGUUUUAUCAAACCAAUAGACCAGAAAAACUAGAAAACGAGCAAAUCCUACACUCUCUCCCCCUUUGACAUCGAAACACCAAAAAGGAAGAGAGGAGCCCUUCGACCCAGGUGGUAGAAACAUCAGUCGGUGUCCUCCUCAUCACGAUACUCCUCAUCUGAGUCAUCGUCGAUGUCCUCCUCAGAUGCAGCCCACUGAAGUCGAUGCUUCACCAUCCAUUCAGCCUUAGGGGUGAUCUCACGCUCAGAACCGCUGGAGAAGGGCAGGUCAAGCUUCCUCAUGAUCAAUUUGUCAUGCUGGCGACUCUCCUUCUGAGCAACAUGUGUUCUGUACUGGCCCUUGGCCUGCAUACAGAACAGGGUCUUCAUCCUAUCCGUGAGCCGUGUGGGCCAUGAUGGUUCCGCAGAUGUGUGGGAACCCUCACCCUGUCGAUGAGCCUCUGGAGGAGCCUCAUCCUCAGCGUCUGGAAGAUUGUCAUCAGAAUCCCUUGGGGCAGCCGGACGAGAGGAGGUGUUGGCCCAUUUGUCCUUCUGACGCAGCUUGAUGGGCUCAUGGAGGACCCAAUGAGGAGCAAGAAACUCAGCACCGGGGAAGGUCUUGGUCCAAGUGGCCUUGAUAAAGUAGAAUAGGUAGGGACCGUAGAUUGGGACCUUAUGGUUAAUGACUGCAGAGUAGAGCUCAGUCCACAUGACAUGAGAAACAUCAAGGGGCUGACACUGACGAUUCUUCGCUUUCUGACACAUGAGAAGCAUGUCUACCAGGUAAGAGUGCACUUGGUCCUUGUUGCCAACCCUGGUAAACAACGUGUUGCGAAAAAUCCGGUGCAUCACAUCCAAGAAGGGGUUCAUGACAUAGGAUACCUCGCCAGUGGGGGUGUCCUUCACAGAGAGGUACGGGAGCAGCUUCUCCUUUGGAGCGGCUUGAGGCUUGGCAUGGGGGUGCAAGCCAACAGCAGUAGUGAGGCCCUCAUCCCUGACCUGAAGAAGAUCCAUGAAGUCUUUCCAGGUAGCAGUCAGCUGCACUCCAUUUGUCAACCAAGUCAUAGUACGAGCCUCAUCAUGGUGAAAGUGCACUGUAGCAAAGAAGUGAGCUACAAUGGAAAUGUCAAAAUCCUGUUGAAACGAGAUGAGGUCCGCAAUCUGAAGUUGUUCCACCAUAGCAAUGGCCUCCCCAAAAUAAGACAUGUCCUUCCUCAAAUGAUCAAGAUCAAUCCACUGCACCAGGACAUAUAGGUUCUUCUUCGACCUGAGAACAUCUUCAUAGAUUAAGAAUUGAUUGCGAUUCCAAAAUAGUUCACCGACAGGGAAGUUCUCCCUAUUGUUGGCAUAUGGGUUGAGCUUGCGACGGUGUUGGAACUCGGCAAGCGGCAUGGUGUUCCAGUUGACUGAGGGCUUCUUUGGACCAGGCUUCUUGAACGAGCGCUUGGGGGCAUUGGAGCCUUCAGGCGGAUCAGAGGAAGAUCGCUUGGAACUGGCAGUGCGAGACGGGUUGGGACGACGGGAACCACCACCUGGGACACGCAAACAACACACAAAACACGAAAGAAAGGAGAAACAAGUCAAGGCAACGAUCAAGAAAUACCAGAAAACCCAUAAAACACAAUAGAUUAGUGUGUGUGCACAAAGGGGAGCGGUAGUAAAAUUUUACUAGCGCUCUGGAAGAGGUAGUACCGCCUUGAGGGCGGUAGUACCGCACGGGACGGCCUAAUCACAGAUCUAUGCAAAUUUUACAGGGAAAAACUUGUGAAGAAGAUUGAAAACCUUAGAUCUAGAUCCUAUGCACGCCUAGACACACACACCGCCUAUGCAAGGAAUCAUACUACCAAAAAGCUGCCACUAAAUCCCAAUCACGAUGCCAUGAGACCAUAUGCCCUAACCCUAGAUUGAAUCAACGAUCAAAGCAUAAGAGUGCAGAUGAGGGGCAGUACCGGUGUCCAUGGCGCGUGGGGAAGAGUCCCACCGGUCGGAAUCGGAGGACGAUGGCCGGAUAGGGAGAUCCGGCGAUGCCUUAGGGCAGUUUUUGAGGAGAGGAGAGAGAGACAGAGAAGAACUCGGGGCUGAGGGGGAAAGAGAAAGGCCUCCCAGCCCUUUAAAUAGUCCCCUGGGCGAGGCGGCGCGGUAGUACCGUAGUCAUCGCGGUAGUACCGCGCCCACAACGGUAGUAAAAAAUUAGUACCGUGCUGGGGGCGGUAGUACCGCAUGGUGAGCGGUAGUACCGCUCCCCCAGCGGUAGUAAAUUUUUACUACCGUGCUGGGGGCGGUAGUACUGUUCUCGAAGUCACAAAAUGGCCACAAAAUGAACUCUCUACUCCUUAGGUGGUGGAAAAACUUGAUCAAGCCAAGAGAAAACAAAACACGGAAGCAAGAAAGACACACCGAAAGAAAAGAAACAACACAGAGUCUCCAGGGGAGAGGGCGGUGGCCGAGGCCACCUAUGUUUGAGACAAAUGGUAUGACACCGCGAAGAAUUAUCCUUGGUUUCAUGACCAUAUCUCGUCUUUGAAGCACAAGUGCCAUUUGGUGAUGGCCAAAGUGAAAGACUUGAUCGAUUUAUGCAUAAUGGGGGGAGGGAAAGUUCAUUGAGAGAACAACACUCCCCCUAUGUCCAUGCCUACAUCUAGAGCAAGAUAUAAUGUAGAGUAAGGUGCAAAGUGCCUAGUUUCAAUCCACAUUACUUGAAUCAAUGAUAUUUAGCUCAUGCCUUAACUCCCGGAACCUUGCUUCAUCUAGGGGCUUAGUGAAAAUAUCUGCAAGUUGCUCUUCAGUGUUGAUGAAGUGAAUCUCAAUAUCAGCUAGCUUGAUAUGUUCACGAAUGAAGGGAUGGCGAAUAUCAAUGUGCUUGAUCUUGCUGUGUUGAACCGGAUUGAGAGAAAUCUUGAUAGCACUUUGAUUGUCACAUAGGAGAGGCACUUUGUCACAAGUGACACAGUAGUCCUUUAGAGUUUGCCUCAUCUAUAACAACUGGGCACAACAACUUGCAGCUGCUACAUACUCAGCUUCGGUGGAGGAUAGUGAGACACAAUUCUGCUUCUUUGAAGACCAACUUACCAGUGAACGACCAAGGAAUUGACAUCCUCCAGAGGUUGACUUCCUCUUCACAUAGUCUCCUGCCCAAUCUGAGUCAGAAUAGCCCACUAGGUUAAAGUUUGCUCCUUUGGGAUACCAUAGACCAAAGUUUGGGGUAUGAGCCAAAUAUCGAAAGAUUCGUUUGACAUCCAUGUAAUGGCUUUCCUUUGGUGAGGAUUGAAACCGUGCACAAAUCCCUACACUCAACAUGAUAGCUGGUCUAGAUGCACAAAGGUAAAGGAGGGAUCCAAUCAUGGAGCGAUAUACCUUUUGAUCCACUACUUUACCAUUGGGAUCACUGUCAAGCUUGCAUCGUGUUGGCAUGGGAAACUUGACCGGCUUGACAUCCUCUAGCUCAAACCUCUUGAGCAUGUCUUGAGUGUACUUGGCUUGUUUGAUGAAAGUCCCUUCUAAGCCUUGUUUGAUCUCGAACCCGAGGAAGAACUUCCACUUUCCCAUCAUAGACAUCUCAAAUUCCUCGGUCAUCAGUGCAACAAAUUCUUCAUUGAAAGAUUCGUUAGGAGAACCAAAAAUGAUGUCAUCAACAUAUAGUUGGCAUAUGAACAAAUCCCCUUUGACCCUCUUAGUAAAAAGAGUGGGAUCAAUCUUCCCAAUUUCAAACCCACGAUCUUGUAACAACUCAGUAAGAUACUCAUACCACGCACGUGGGGCUUGUUUAAGGCCAUAGAGUGCCUUAUUCAGUUUGUACACAUGAUUGGGGAGCUUGGGUUGUUCGAACCCCGGGGGUUGUUUGACAUAGACCAACUCAUUUAAAGGACCAUUAAGAAAGGCACUUUUCACAUCCAUUUGUUGUAAUUUGAAAUUAUGAUGAGAAGCAAAUGCAAGCAUCAUGCGAAUAGAUUCUAGACGAGCAACAGGUGCAAAGGUUUCACCGUAGUCGAUACCCUCGACUUGGGAGUAGCCUUGAGCCACCAAUCUUGCCUUGUUUCGAAUCACAAUCCCAUUGGCAUCUUGCUUGUUUUUUAAGAUCCAUUUGGUCCCAAAGACAUUAUGUUCCUCCUUUGGCCUUGGCACUAAAUCCCAUACUUGAUUGCACUCGAAGUUGUUGAGUUCUUCAUGCAUGGCCAUAAGCCAAUCCUCAUCAUCGAGCGCUUCCUGUACCUAUUGAGGUUCACAGUACGAAACAAACGCGUGAUGCUCACAAUAAUUCCAAAUUUGUUGACGAGUGGAUACUCCCCUUUUCAAACUACCAAGUACAUUCUUCAUAAGAUGUGACUUGACUCUCAGCUUGUUCACAAUCUUGGUUGCGCGACGCUCCAAGAGUUCUUCAUUUGAUAACUGGAGAACAUCGACAUGAUUACUUUGCUUGCCCUUGCGUUUUGAUCCUCCCUUGGCACCAGUACCCCUUUUAGGCGCUGCAGAAGGGAAUUGAGAGACAACAUCCUGAUCAACUUGAUCUUCGACUUGAGCAGGUUCACUAGUUUGUCCUUGUUCUUGUGGUUGCUCUUGAUCUUGAUCUUGUGCUUCUAUUUGGUCUGGAUCAUGUGGUUGCACUUGAUCUUGAUCUUGAGCAGGUUCGGAACCUUGGGUGAGUGCUUGUACUUCAUGGGACACGUCACCAUCUUUAGGCAAUUGGUCCUGAUCUUGAGUUUGUUCAACUUGUUGAGGGUCUUCUCUUUGUUCAUCGGAAGCGUGUGGGACUUGUGAGGAUGAUGGCUCCACUUGAGUAGAGCAUUGUCCUUCUCCUUCGUCCACAAGGGGUUCCUCAAUGGGGAGUAUUUGACCAAUCCCCAUUCUUCUUAUGGCUUGGGGAGGAAUUUCAUCCCCUACAUCACAAAGACCACUUUACUCCACUUGGGAGCCAUUAUUUUCAUCAAACUCCACGUUACACGUCUCCUCAAUGAGUCUGGUGGACUUGUUGAGGACACGGUAAGCAUGAGAGUUUGUAGCAUAACCAACAAAUAUGCCCUCAUGUGCUCUAGAAUCAAAUUUAGCUAAACGUGCACCUUUCUUGAGAAUGAAACACUUACACCCGAAUACCCGGAAGUACUUGAGAUUGGGUUUGUUUCCGGUGAGAAUCUCAUAUGGGGUCUUGUUCAAGCCUUUGCGGAUAUAGAGCCGAUUGGACACAUGACAUGCUGUGUUGAUGGCUUCGGCCCAAAAGUUAUAUGGAGAUUUGAAUUCCGCCAUCAUUGUUCUUGCAGCAUCCAUCAGUGUCCGGUUCUUCCUUUCCGCCACACCAUUUUGUUGAGGGGUAUAUGGUGCCGAAUGUUGAUGUUUUAUUCCCUCGUCACCUAGAAACUCAUCCAAGGUGUAGUUCUUGAACUCGGUGCCGUUGUCACUUCUGAUCAUCAAAAUCUUUGCUUCAUGAUGACGUUGAGCUUCGUUAGCAAAGUUGAUAACAGUUUGUUGAGUCUCACUCUUCCUCUUGAAGAAAUAUACCCAAGUGUAUCUUGAGUAAUCAUCAACAAUCACCAAGCAGUACUUUCUGCCCCCAAGACUAUCAAAUGAUGGGGGACUGAAGAGAUCCAUAUGAAGGAGCUCCAACGGUCUCUUAGUGUAAAUGAGAGUCGUUGGACGAUGAGCAGUUUCAUGGAUUUUUCCUUCAAUGCAGGCACUUCAAGCACGAUCUCUGGCAAAACUCACAUUUGUUAGUCCACGAAUAUGGUCCCCUUUAAGGAGACUUUGCAAAGAUCUCAUAUUGACAUGAGCUAGUCGGCGAUGCCAAAGACAGCCCACAUCAACUUUAGCCAUUAGACAUGUCGCAGUCUUAGUGGGUCGCUUUGAAAAGUUCACCACAUAGAGACCAUUUUCGACAUGUCCAACAUAGGCUACUUUAAGAGUCUUGCUCCACAAAAGGACCACAAUAUCAAGAUUAAAGAAUGUGGAAAAGCCCGUAAUUGCAAGUUGACGAACCGAUAGUAAAUUAUAAGCAAGGGACUCAACAAGCAUGAACUUCUCAAUAGAUAACUCUUGAGAGAUGAUCACCUUACCAAAUCCCAAUACCUUUGACGAUGAUGCAUCGGCGAAUUGGACAUGGGUGGGCAUAGAUGGGGAAGGAUGCACAUCCACCACUAAGUCCUUGCUUCCGGUGAUAUGAUUUGUUGCUCCACUAUCGAGCAACCAUGACACCCUCCGGAAGCAAACUCCUGCAAUAGAUCAAGGCUUGGUUUUAGGUACCCAUUUUUGAAUGGGUCCUUUAAUGUUAGAGACAAGGGUCUUAGGAACCCAAAUUGCACAUUCAAUGUACUCAUAGUAUGAACCAACAAAUCUGGCAUAAACAUGCCCAUCACCAGCAUGACAUAAAACAUAGGAAGGAUUUAGUUUGUCGGCUGUGUUGGUAGGAAUGGUUUUGCCCUUCUUGAUGCUCCCAUUUUCCACCUUGUUCCUGUUCACCUCCUGAUUCCCUUCGCCCUCUUUGACAAAGAUAUCCAUGAGGGUGGGGGAUCUGUUGUUCCUGUUCUUUCUUUUUCUUUUAGACUUAGAUGUAAUUCCAAGCCCCUCCUUUCCUACCACACCCUUUUGAUUGCUCAAAAGGUCGUUCAGGCUCUUCUUGCCUUGGAUGCAUGACACAAGGCCCUUCUCAAGUUUAUCCUUCAACUUGGCAUUUUCCUCCACAAGAUGUACAUGCUCACAACAAGGGUUAGUUGUACAAGCAUUAUCAAUUAAAACAAAAGUAGGACAAGUAGAGAUUUCCUUGGUAAUCUUUGCUUGAAGUUGAUCAUGAGACUCUUUCAGGGAGAAAUGACUACCUUUCAAGGCCUUGUGAGCCUUGUCAAGUGUGUCAAACUCCAUUUUGAGUCUGUCAUGGUCAACCCCAAGAGCAUCCUUUUCAGACUGAAGCAUACGAGUAAGAACAGUAGCAUGAUCUAGUUUCUUUUGCAAUUUAGCACAGUCAUCGUUGUAUGACUCCUCAGGAGCCAAACGAAGAGUGCGCUCCGUUUCUAGUGCAGUAGAAAGUUCAGCAAUCUCAUCGGCAUAGUCAUGACUAUGACCUUGCAUCUCGGAGAUGGUCUCCUCAUGAGACUCGAUGAGGUCAUUAGCCUCACCCAAUUGUUCCAAAAGGGCAACAAAGUGCCUCUUGGUUUCUCCUUUGAUAGUACACAGAAAUUUGUCAAGAUCAUGCUCAUUAAGUUCUACAACAUCACUAUCAUCAACACAAUUCAACAAUGAGGGAGCACUAGUGAUGUUGGUCUUAAUGUUGGGUAUUACCUGAGUGAUACCUUUGGCCAUGAGGCACUUGGCGAUGUGAUUAUCGUUGGGGGCGUUGAAGAGAGAGACAUUCUUGGGAGAAGGAGUGGCGAUAGCGACAGUCGCAGUUGCCACCAUAUCAUCAUCAUCAUCAUCAUCAUCGGAGGGGUACUCUUCAAGUGCCACCUGUUGGGGAACGUCGCAUGGGAAACAAAAAAUUUCCUACGCGCACGAAGACCUAUCAUGGUGAUGUCCAUCUACGAGAGGGGAUGAGUGAUCUACGUACCCUUGUAGAUCGUACAGCAGAAGCGUUUAGAGAACGCGGUUGAUGUAGUGGAACGUCCUCACGUCCCUCGAUCCGCCCCGCGAACAAUCCCGCGAUCAGUCCCACGAUCUAGUACCGAACGGACGGCACCUCCGCGUUCAGCACACGUACAGCUCGACGAUGAUCUCGGCCUUCUUGAUCCAGCAAGAGAGACGGAGAGGUAGAAGAGUUCUCCGGCAGCGUGACGGCGCUCCGGAGGUUGGUGAUGAUCUUGUCUCAGCAGGGCUCCGCCCGAGCUCCGCAGAAACACGAUCUAGAGGAAAAACUAUGGAGGUAUGUGGUCGGGCAGCCGUGAAAAAGUCGUCUCAAAUCUGCCCUAAAAGCCCCAUAUAUAUAGGAGGAGGGAGGGGAACCUUGCCUUGGGGUCCAAGGGAUCCCCAAGGGGUCGGCCGAGCCAAGGGGGGGAGGACUCCCCCCCCAAACCGAGUUGGACUUGGUUUGGUGGGAGGAGUCCCCCUCCCUUCCCACUUCUUCCCUCCUUUUUUUUUCCUUUGAUUUUCUUAUCUUGGCGCAUAGGCUUCCUUGGGGCUGUCCCACCAGCCCACUAAGGGCUGGUGUGUUCCCCCAAAGCCUAUGGGCUUCCCCGGAGUGGGUUGCCCCCCUCCGGUGAACUCCCGGAACCCAUUCGUCAUUUCCCGGUACAUUCCCGGUAACUCCGAAAACCUUCCGGUAAUCAAAUGAGGUCAUCCUAUAUAUCAAUCUUCGUUUCCGGACCAUUCCGGAAACCCUCGUGACGUCCGUGAUCUCAUCCGGGACUCCGAACAACAUUCGGUAACCAACCAUAUAACUCAAAUACGCAUAAAACAACGUCGAACCUUAAGUGUGCAGACCCUGCGGGUUCGAGAACUAUGUAGACAUGACCCGAGAGACUCCUCGGUCAAUAUCCAAUAGCGGGACCUGGAUGCCCAUAUUGGAUCCUACAUAUUCUACAAAGAUCUUAUCGUUUGAACCUCAGUGCCAAGGAUUCGUAUAAUCCCGUAUGUCAUUCCCUUUGUCCUUCGGUAUGUUACUUGCCCGAAAUUCGAUCGUUGGUAUCCGCAUACCUAUUUCAAUCUCGUUUACCGGCAAGUCUCUUUACUCGUUCCGUAAUACAAGAUCCCGUAACUUACACUAAGUCACAUUGCUUGCAAGGCUUGUGUGUGAUGUUGUAUUACCGAGUGGGCCCCGAGAUACCUCUCCGUCACACGGAGUGACAAAUCCCAGUCUUGAUCCAUACUAACUCAACCAACACCUUCGGAGAUACCUGUAGAGCAUCUUUAUAGUCACCCAGUUACGUUGCGACGUUUGAUACACACAAAGCAUUCCUCCGGUGUCAGUGAGUUAUAUGAUCUCAUGGUCAUAGGAAUAAAUACUUGACACGCAGAAAACAGUAGCAACAAAAUGACACGAUCAACAUGCUACGUCCAUUAGUUUGGGUCUAGUCCAUCACGUGAUUCUCCUAAUGACGUGAUCCAGUUAUCAAGCAACAACACCUUGUUCAUAUUCAGAAGACACUGACUAUCAUCGAUCAACUGGCUAGCCAACUAGAGGCAUGCUAGGGACGGUGUUUUGUCUAUGUAUCCACACAUGUAAAUGAGUCUUCAUUCAAUACAAUUAUAGCAUGGAUAAUAAACUAUUAUCUUGAUACAGGAAUUAUAAUAAUAACUAUACAUUUAUUAUUGCCUCUAGGGCAUAAUUCCAACACCACCAUACCCUUUGGAUGGGGUUUCUUGACAAAGUUGUUCUUGCUUGGGAAUGACUUUGUUUUGUCUUUGCGAAUGAGCUUGCCUGUGUUGUCUUCCCUCUUCUCAUAAGGACAUUCCGCCACGAAGUGGCUCACAUUACCACAGUUAUAGCAUGUCCUCACUCGUUGCUUGGGUUUGAACCCGCUUGAGUUGUUCUUGGUGAAGUUGGGUCUUGAAUUCCUCUUGUUGCCCCAGAAUUGCCUGGACUCAAGAGCCAUGUGCUCGUGAUAAGCAUACUUAGUGUCUUCAGGGCAGCUCUACUCUUCCUCAUCCUCCUCUUCUUCUUCAGAAGCAGCCUUUGCCUUCAAAGCAAGGUUAGGUGAAGCUGUCUUUGACCGAACUCGAGCAAGUGCAUUGUCAGCGGUCUCGUUCAUGAUUGACAUUGCAAUGAAUUCGUCCAACACCUCACUGGAAGACAAGGAGUGGAAAUCUGGUCGUUGGCGAAUGACUGAUGACAUGGCUUUGUUGAAAGGCAUGAUGGCCUUGAGAAACUUAUGCUUGACCCAUGUGUCAUCCACAUCCUUGCUCCCAUGAUCCUUGAGAGCAACAACAAUAGCAGUCACCCUCCGAUAGAGAUCACGAGGGUCCUCAUCUUCCUUCAUUACAAACUCAUCGGCCUUAUCAAGUAUCACUUCAUAGUUUGACCGUUGAAUUAUAGAGCUUCCCUUGUAUAGCACCAUAAUGUGCUCCCAACAGUCUUUGGCCAGAGACAAGGGGCGCAAGUGAGGAAGAUCUUCAGGCGGUACUUCGGACUAUAGAAUAAACAAUGCGGAGUGAUUAUAUUGAUUGCCCGCUUCUUCUCUUGGAGUGAAGUUGCUUGGGUCAUGAGGAUAGUAGCCUUGCUCGAUGAUUCUUCAUAAAUUUGUUGAGCUGUGAUUCAAAUGAGACUUAAUAGAAAACACCCAGUUAGCAAAAUCACCCUUAACAAGCUUAGGAGGAGGACCAACAGGAUUAAGACGCGGUGUGGGAACGGGUCCUCCAUACACCAUGGGAGGUGGAACUGAGGCAUAGGUUCCAGUCCCAUCCUUUUUGAGAGAUGAGGAAGGUCGCAUACCUUUAGCCGCUUCCUUAGAGGAAUUGGCCUCUGAAUCGGUGAUGGUGGGUUUAACCACUAACACCGGUUCGGGUGAACUUUUAAUUCCCACAAUUAACUCUUUAAGCAUGGUCUUGACUUCGUUCGUCAAGGACGUCUUGAGGGCGGCCAUAGCCGUAUUCAAGUCGUCCCUUGUGACCGAAGUCAAGUCCAUGGCCUCGGGUUGCCCAUGGGGAACUCCCUCUUUGUCUUCCAUACUCUUCGGGUGGUGAAACCCUUAAUAAAGAGACGUGGCUCUGAUACCAAUUGAAAGUAUCGAUAUGGUUGACUAGAGGGGGGGUGAAUAGGCAACUACCAAUUUUUAGCUUUUCUAAAUAAAUAAGGAGUAGCAAUCAUAAAGGUUCACUAACAUGACACUAGGAGGACAACCUAUAUGAUGCUACUUAUCAACGAGUAAAGAAGCACGUAGGAGAUACUCUACAAUACCAACAAAUACAAAGUAAAGGUAAGAGAUAACUACAAGUGGAACCGAUGAAGACGAGGAUGUGUUACCGAAGUUCCUUCCCUUUGACAGGAAGUACGUCUCCGUUGGAGCGGUGUGGAGGCACAAUGCUCCCCAAUAAGCCACUAGGGCCACCGUAUUCUCCUCACGCCCUCGCACAAUGCAAGGUACCGUGAUUCCACUAUAGGUGCUCUUGAAGGCGGCGACCGAACCUUUACAAACAAGGUUGGGGCAAUCUCCACACAAAUCAUGGAGGCUCCCAACAAGACCACGGAGCUUCACCACAACGGAAUGUGGCUCCGAGGUGACCUCAACCGUCUAGGAUGCUCAAACACCCAAGAGUAACAAGAUCCGCAAGGGAUUAGUAGGGGGAAUCAAAUAUCCUUUGGUGGAAGUGUAGAUCAAGGCCUUCUUAAGCAAUCCCUAGAAAAUCAACAAGGUUGAUUGGCUAGGGAGAGAGAUCGGGCUAAAAUGAGCUUGUGGAGCAACAAUGGAGCUUAGAGAGGUUAAAGGUGGGCUCUAGGGAGAAGAAGAUGCCUUUAUGUAGUAGGGGAGGCAGAUCCAACUGUUAUCCACCUAUCACAUAAAUGCACGAGCGGUACUACCGCUCCUGGAGCGGUACUACCGCUCAGCUCCUCACCAACCACGGUAGUACCGGGGUACUACCGUGCCACCACCUCCGUGGGAAAGUAUGCGAGAAAAAGCCCGUCGGUGCGGUAGUAAAUUAAUACUACCGCACUGAGGGCGGUAGUACCGCCCUUGGAGCGGUAGUAAAAUACUACUACCGUUCUUCGGGCGGUAGUAUCGCUCCUGGAGCGGUAGUAAAAGAUUACUACCGCACCUGGGAAGGUAGUACCGCUCGUGGAGCGGUAGUAAAAAUUUACUACCACUCUGACAGCGGUACUACUGCUGUGCCAGCGAUACUACCGCUGUACAGCGGUACUACCGCUUAUCCUUUUUCGCAUAGGCAAGGAAAACACAAUGGUGCUCCAUUGAAGCUAAAAUAUGGGUGGGUGCAUGAGGUGUGUGCGUGAGGAUUCCACCCAAACCUUUCUGACGCGGAGCCCCUCUUGGUAAGAAGACUUUCCUAUGACUCAAACUAGGAAGAGAAAUGUAGAAGAAAAUCCGUCUUCGAGAACCUCCGAGGGGCGUCGAGUCAUCUUGUGCCUAGAAGAGAAUAUUCUGAAAUGCUCAGGACACAGAAUUAGUCCGCACAACAAUUGUCAUCAAUAAACUAAAACCACUUAGGAGAAAUAUGCCUUAACAGAGGUAGUACCUUUAUAGUGCAUAAUAUCAUAAAUUAGUACUUCCUCCGUCACGGUUUAGAAGGCACAGUUAAACUUGCGUUCGUUUCCAAAAUAUACAAGGUCUAUGGCGUGAAAGCAAUUACUCUAAUUAAUUAGUACUAGUACUACUCUUGCAUGCAUAGUGGAGAGUAUCAUAUAGUAGUAUCAUGCAUAUGAUUCUAUUGUAUGAUACUACCUCUAUAAUGCAUAGUAUCAUAAAGUAGUAUCAUAGACGACCUCAUUUAUUGACAUGCAAAACAUAUUGUAGCAUUACAUUUAACAUGUUAUGGUAUCUACGUAUGUUACUCUAACCCUCUCUCUCAUCUUUAAUUGCCUGCCACAUCAGCAUGUUUGCUAGUCCCAAGAGCAUGAUACUACCUAAGUUACUCCCACUAUGGCCAGCCUAAUUUGCUGCUCACGCAUUAAUACUAGUAUUUUCUCAGUUGAUUAGAUGCAUUAGCAUAUAGACAUACUACAUCUCACAACCAAUCGAUGACUACCUUGGUUUCAGAGAUUUUCCAAACAUGUCUUCUAAACCGUGACGGAGGGAGUAUCAUAGGUGAUCUUAUUUAUUGCCAUGCAUGAUACAAAGUAGCAUUGCAUUUAACAUGAUACGGUAUCUACCUAUGUUACUCUAACCUUCGCUUUCUUCUUUAAUUCUCUACCACAUCAGCAUGUUUGCUAUUCCCGAGUAUAUGUUACUAGCUAAGAUACUCCCACUAUGGCUAGCCCCAUUUGCGAGGUGACUCGGUGUAGUUGGUGCGCUUAGCCUUUCGCAGCGGUCCUUUUGAUUUCUUUUGAGUGGCUCGCAUGCCAGUUGUGGUCGGUUGUGGCCGUUGUUUGUUGCUACUCAUGUGUUGUGUGUUACCUGAUUGCAUGUUGGCUUUGGAGGAUGCUUGGAUACGUUUUAGUCCCAUGAUUAAAAGUAGUGGAACUAAAACUUGCUAGCCUCAUCCAUGCUUGGAUCCAAAUACUAAAAAGACUAAAAUCAAGUUAAUGAACAUUUAUUAUCCUUCAAACCAUCCAAUCCAAAACUCGCAUGUGUUAAAGGAGAGGAGUUAAAUGAGGAGAGAGAGAACUAAUCUACAUUUUAGUAUGGGUACCCUCACUAAAUUUUUUUAGUCUCAAGACUAGUUUUAACCCCUCUUUAGUCAGGGGUGCUUGAAACUUUAGCCUCUUAAAAAGACUACUUUUAGUCAGACUAGUUUUAGUCGCUUGGAUCCAAACACCCUCUUAUUAAUUUAAAGUCAAACUCGGGCCUUUUCUAUAAGAAAAAGAGUACUUGAUUGUUUACAUAGUGUAUAAAUUAUUAAUAUAGGCAGGAGAUUUAAUCUUAGUGACUAAUGUGUAAAUUCGACUUGAAAAAUGCACGGAACCUGGGCCAGGUAAGAGCAGCGGCGAGAAACUUGACUCUUUAGGUCACCAAGGUCGUCGUCAAUCACGCUGUAUCCGAGAUUUCUGUCCUUGUUUCGUCUGACUCAAGUUGCAACGAGACAUACGACUGCUCUGCAAGGGCAGGCCAAUUCGCCCAGAGUUAAUGAAACCGGUUAGCAGCUGUAGACAGGCCUGCAUGGAAUGGUAAAUUCAUGGUUGGUGACGUUGUGGACAAUUUUCACACAAAGAACAGGUCAAUGAGGAGCGGAGGCACGGUAAACCGAGGCUCAUAAUUCAACGAAGCAUGUUCCUUCACAUGCUCUUUUAUUUGCCAUGGCUAGCCAUGUUGGGUUAAGACAUCCGGAUAAUCUUUUAUUUUAUCCAUAUAAACAUUGUAUAAUGAUUUAAAUAAAAGCUUGAUGAGAUUGUCUAGAAAAAAAGACACACACGUGCAGCACUCUCACUGACUCACGUACCCUUGAGCAAUGCAAUAGCAUCUCCUAUCAGAUUUGUACUUUUUUUGCGGGAAAAAGAGUACAAAUGUACAGGUAAAAAGAAGUACUGAAAUGUGUAAAUUAUCAUAGGCAGCAGAUUUAACCCUAGUGACUAGAAUGUCUAAAAUCGAUUUGAAUAAUGCAUGGAACAUGGACCAGGCAAGAGCAGCAUCGAAAAACUUGACUCUUUAGAGCAAGUACAAUAACAAAUUUAUAGCCUAUUUAGAUUCUAUGAGAGCAUGAUUAAUAAUAUAAUCAAUAAUCGGCUACAAGGAGUUGUCAUGCCAUUUACAGCCAACCUAAUAGCCGGCAUGCACUAUAGUAAAUUUUAAAUAUGUACUAGUACUUUAUUAGUAGUUGGCUCAUCUUACAAUCUUACGAAACGUUUUGGGGCUCAUGUUGCAGCUGGCUACUAAUCAAUAGUCUGCUUCUCUUCUCUUUCAUCUUCUCUUUCUUCCACCUAAACAAAAAUAUAAUAUUCAAAUCAUUCUAAUCCGUUUAUGUCAUUUUAUUGUAUUUGCUCUGAACAGCCUUAUAGCUAGCCGCCGGCUGUAUUAUUAAGGGUUAGUUAUUUUGUUGCCUUCUAGAAUAAGCUGGAAUAAGCUAUCCCUACUCAGCUUAUUCUAGAAAACCAAUCAAAUUUACUUUUUAGAAGGGAAUCGUUUCCAUACGACGCGCAGGCCGAACCGACGCGCCGGUCGCUUCCUUGCGCGCACGGGUUCAUGCAAUAUUUUUCGCACGUGCGCGCUUCGCUGGUCAGUGGAUGCAACAUUUUUCGUUGAAAUUUGUUGCAACCAGCGUCAUAUUUGUUGCAUGUGUUUUUUACUACAUUUGUCUAGUAAAAAAGUUGCAUAUACGUUUGGUUGCAACUCCAGUUCGUCGGAUUUUUCGUUACAAUCGAUGUUUGUUAUUUUUGCUACAACAGUGUUAAUUUUUGCUACAACCGGUAUUAUUUUUUGCUGCAAUCAUUCACUAAAAAAGUUGCAUACACGUUCACGUAGAUAUUUGUUACAACUGACGUUUGACUUUUGCUAUCACGCACCAUCAGAUUCGUUUUUUUGCUACGAUCACGUAGAUAUUUUUUUUGCUACAAAUUUUGUUUUUUGUUGCAGUCGUUGAAAAAAUUACUGCAUCGCGACGAAUUUUGCUGCAUCGGAAGAAAAAAUGUUGCAUUGAUAUCCAACGGUGCGGACGCGCGGGGGUUGGUGGAUCGUGCGGCCGGCGCGCUGGCGCAGAGCACUGCCUUUUUUAUAAGUCUAUUAAUUAAGACGUGACUAGUAAGCAUUUAAAAAUAUAUUUUUGAUUGGAUUUUUAAAAUAAACUAGAUAGAAGGUAACUUAUUCUAGAAGCUCAAAAAAAGUCAUAAAAAAACUGACCCUAACCAGCCAAGGUCAUCGCCAAUCACGCUGUAUCCGAGAUUUCUGUGCUUGUUUCGUCUAACUCAAGUUGCAACCAUACACUACUGCUCUGCAAACGCAUGCCACCGAAUGAAACCGGUUAGGGUAAAAUUGUCACAUUGAUGAUUUUAAUGACAUGUUGCAUAAUAAAAGAAGAGAAAUAAUGAAACCGUAUGAACCUGAAGCAACGGUUCAUGCACAAGCUCCGAGGCAAACAUGUUAUUUUUUUACUAUUUAGUAAACUCAUUUAGUUAUUUUACAUACGAUUAACAUACACUUUAUUGAAGAGCUUGUAUGAUGUACUGUUGGUUGUUAACGUGGACACUUAUACCAACGAUUGAAUAUAUGAACUGUUGAAGAUGCUCUUAGCAGCUGUAGACAGGCCUGCAUGGAAUGGUAAAUGCAUGGUUGGUGACGUUGUGGACAAUUUCCACACAAAGAACAGGUCGACGAGGAGCGGAGACACUGUUCCCAUGCAACAUUCAACGGUCAACCUGGCUAGCUAGCUUGUCCCCACGCAGAGCUAGCACACCGGCACCGCGAAAUCUCAAAGCUCGAUCGGAUCACCGACGCGCAAUCAGCGAGACACCGCGAAGUCCAUGGAACGCCGCCGGUCAGACGCUUGAUCGCUGCCCGGUCCAAAUUUGCGUGCGUCGCAACGUGCGCCGCCCACGAAACGCGGCUUGCACAUACGUCGUUGCCAAGCUAUUGCCUUCGUACGUACGUGGUCGUCCGGGACGACCUAUAAAUAUGUCAUCCGUAACCCAGCCGGAGGAAACAACGCACCACUCGAAGCAGCCAUCUCUCUAGACUCUAGUGUGCUACUGCGAAAGGAAGAUGGCGACUAAGCUAAAGCUCGCGGCGCUCGUUGUCUUGGCCGCGUUCCUCGCCGGACCGGCGGCGUCCGAGGCCGCCAGCAUUUGCUUCAACGGCUGGCUGAGGCUACCCACCUACAACCCGCAGCUCUGUCGCUCCAGCCCGACCGUUCGGACGCGGCAGAGGGUACCUGCUCCCUCGGGGUCCGGGCUCACCUCCGGCUAUUACAACACCAGGUGCCCUAGCGCGGAGCAGAUCGUCACGGACGCCGUGAAGAAGGCCGUGGAUGCCAACCCUGGCAUUGGUGCCGGGCUCAUCCGUCUCUUCUUCCACGACUGCUUCGUUCGGGUACACACACAGCUCCUCGAUUCUAUAGCUUAUAUUCUACCAUAUUCAUUAUAUGUGGAACAACAUGUUCAUUAUGUGGAACAACAUGUUAAUAUUAUUUAGGGGUGCGAUGCUUCGGUCCUCCUCAACACGACCAACUCCAAGAACAGCGACACGGAGAGGGAGGGCCCUCCGAACAAGGACAGCCUGCGAGGGUUCGAGGUGAUCGACGAGGCCAAAGCGGCGAUCGAGGCCGCCUGCCCCAGCACAGUCUCAUGCGCCGACAUCGUGGCCUUCGCCGCCCGCGACGCGUCCUACUUCCUCAGCGACCGCAGGAUCAACAUCCAGAUGCCGGGCGGCCGCUACGACGGCCGCGAGUCCUUUGCCAACGAGACCGACCAGCUGCCCGGGCCCUUCUCCAACCUCACGGCGCUCCAAGAAAGUUUCGGGGCCAAGGGACUCACCUCUGACGAGAUGGUCGUGCUCUCCGGCGCGCACACAAUCGGCCGCGCCCGCUGUAUGUUUUUCUCCAGCCGCUUCCCUGAGAUGGACCCGGCAUUUGCCGCCAAGCUCAGGGCACAGUGCAACGGCAAUGACAACACCAACGUGAACCAAGACGAUGUGACCCCCGACGUUCUGGAUAAGCAGUACUAUCAGAAUGUGAUUGACAAGAAAGUGUUGUUCACCUCGGACGCCGUGCUCAACUCGACUGAAACGAUAACGCAGGUGACAGAAAACGCGAACGUGGCCGGGGCGUGGGAGAGGAAGUUCGAGAGUGCCAUGGAGAAUAUGGGCAAAAUCGGGGUCAAGACCAUGGGAGACCAGCAAGGCG
rnacentral:lncRNA from 1 species